rnacentral:tRNA from 1 species
UCCCUGGUGGUCCACUGGUUAGGAUUCCGCACUUCCACUGCUGAAGGCCCGGGUUCGAUCCCUGGUCUGGAAA